GGGUGCGCCUCCGUCCAUGUGCUCGGUGGUGAACAGUGUCAUGUCUGUGCCAAGCAGAUACUUCUGGACCGCACGCACUGUUAGACCAGCCUGGAGGACCGGGAAAAGGGCGACAUAGAGGGAAAACACAAUCCGGUCUGCUGCUCAGUGUUUGUUAAACACUGGCAGGUGGCAUGUAGAAAAACACAAACAAACAAAAAGGGAAAGAGAAUAGCCUGUAUUUACAGGGAAAACACGUCACUGGUUUCGCGCAGCAACGACAACAGAGAGGACCCCCCCACCCCCGCACACACACACGGCAGCACCGUGAAAACCCGCUCUCACCC